rnacentral:rRNA from 1 species
GGCGAACGCUGGCGGCGUGCUUAACACAUGCAAGUCGAGCGGUAAGGCCCUUUCGGGGGUACACGAGCGGCGAACGGGUGAGUAACACGUAGGUGACCUGCCCUGAAGUGCGGAAUAACAGUCCGGAAAGGAUUGCUAAUACCGCAUGUGGUCCCGGGCGUUAGAGAACCGGGUCUAAAGCAGUAAUGCGCUUCAGGAGGGGCCUGCGGUCCAUCAGCUAGUUGGUAGGGUAAUGGCCUACCAAGGCAACGACGGAUAGGGGACCUGAGAGGGUCGGCCCCCCACAUUGGCACUGACACA